GGGCUCGUGGUCGAAUGGUUAAGACGCCACUCUCACACAGUGGAGAUUCGGAGUUCGAUUCUCCGCGAGCCCA
rnacentral:tRNA from 5 species